rnacentral:rRNA from 1 species
UACGGGGGGGGCAAGCGUUGUUCGGAAUUACUGGGCGUAAAGGGCGCGUAGGUGGCCAACUAAGUCAGACGUGAAAUCCCUCGGCUUAACCGGGGAACUGCGUCUGAUACUGGAUGGCUUGAGUUUGGGAGAGGGACGCGGAAUUCCAGGUGUAGCGGUGAAAUGCGUAUAUAUUCGCAAGAACACCAGUGGCGAAGGCGGCUUACUGGUCCGGUUCUGACGCUGAGGCGCGAAAGCGUGGGGAGCAAACAGG